rnacentral:rRNA from 1 species
GAUGAACGCUGGCGGCGUGCCUAAUACAUGCAAGUCGAGCGAACAGACGAGAGUGCUUGCACUCUCUGACGUUAGCGGCGGACGGGUGAGUAACACGUGGGUAACCUACCUAUAAGACUGGGAUAACUUCGGGAAACCGGAGCUAAUACCGGAUAAUAUUUAGCUUCGCAUGAAGCGUUAGUGAAAGACGGUUCUGCUGUCACUUAGAGAUGGACCCGCGGUGUAUUAGCUAGUUGGUGAGGUAACGGCUCACCAAGGCAACGAUACAUAGCCGACCUGAGAGGGUGAUCGGCCACACUGGGACUGAGACACGGCCCAGACUCCUACGGGAGGCAGCAGUAGGGAAUCUUCCGCAAUGGACGAAAGUCUGACGGAGCAACGCCGCGUGAGUGAAGAAGGUUUUCGGAUCGUAAAACUCUGUUGUAAGGGAAGAACAAGUACGUUAGUAACUGAACGUACCUUGACGGUACCUUACCAGAAAGCCACGGCUAACUACGUGCCAGCAGCCGCGGUAAGAC